GACGAACGCUGGCGGCGUGCCUAAUACAUGCAAGUAGGACGCAGUUGCGAACGGGUUAGUAACGCGUAGGUCACUGCCUAGUAGAGGGGGCUAACUAUUGUAAACGAUAGCUAAUACCGCAUACUAGUAGGUUGACCUGCGUUGUAUUAGCUAGUAGGUAGGGUAAUGGCCUACCUAGGCGACGAUACAUAGGCGCGUUGGGAGGGUGAACGGCCAAACUGGGACUGGGACACGGGCCAGAAUCCUACCGGAGGGAGCAGUAGGGAAUCUUCGGAAAUGGGGGGAAAGCGGAACGAGCAAAGCCGCGGGAGUGAAGAAAGUGUUCGGAUCGUAAAGCUCUGUUGUUAAGGAAGCGGUACUUAACCAGAAAGGGACGGCUAACUACGUGCCAGCAGCCGCGGUAAUUC
rnacentral:rRNA from 1 species